CCUACGGGGGGCAGCAGUGGGGAAUAUUGGACAAUGGGCGCAAGCCUGAUCCAGCCAUGCCGCGUGAGUGAUGAAGGCCUUAGGGUUGUAAAGCUCUUUUGUCCGGGACGAUAAUGACGGUACCGGAAGAAUAAGCCCCGGCUAACUUCGUGCCAGCAGCCGCGGUAAUACGAAGGGGGCUAGCGUUGCUCGGAAUCACUGGGCGUAAAGGGCGCGUAGGCGGCCGAUUAAGUCGGGGGUGAAAGCCUGUGGCUCAACCACAGAAUUGCCUUCGAUACUGGUUGGCUUGAGACCGGAAGAGGACAGCGGAACUGCGAGUGUAGAGGUGAAAUUCGUAGAUAUUCGCAAGAACACCAGUGGCGAAGGCGGCUGUCUGGUCCGGUUCUGACGCUGAGGCGCGAAAGCGUGGGGAGCAAACAGGAUUAGAUACCCCAGUAGUC
rnacentral:rRNA from 1 species